AGAGUUUGAUCAUGGCUCAGGACGAACGCUGGCGGCGUGCCUAAUACAUGCAAGUCGAGCGGAUUUAUCCUUCGGGAUAAGUUAGCGGCGGACGGGUGAGUAACACGUAGGUAACCUGCCUAUAAGACCGGGAUAACUAUCGGAAACGAUAGCUAAGACCGGAUAACUGGUUUUCUCGCAUGAGAGAAUUAUGAAACACGGAGCAAUCUGUGGCUUAUAGAUGGGCCUGCGGCGCAUUAGCUAGUUGGUAGGGUAACGGCCUACCAAGGCGACGAUGCGUAGCCGACCUGAGAGGGUGAACGGCCACACUGGGACUGAGACACGGCCCAGACUCCUACGGGAGGCAGCAGUAGGGAAUCUUCCGCAAUGGACGCAAGUCUGACGGAGCAACGCCGCGUGAGUGAUGAAGGUUUUCGGAUCGUAAAGCUCUGUUGCCCUAGACGAACAGCAAGAGGAGUAACUGCCUUUUGUGUGACGGUAUAGGAGAAGAAGCCC
rnacentral:rRNA from 1 species